rnacentral:tRNA from 1 species
GGUAAAAUGACCGAGCGUUUAGGUGGUAGGCUGUAGUCCUAUUCAUAGGGGUUUGACUCCUCUUUUUAUCA